rnacentral:rRNA from 1 species
AGAUUGAACGCUGGCGGCAUGCUUUACACAUGCAAGUCGAACGGCAGCACGGGGCGAACCCUCGGUGGCGAGUGGCGAACGGGUGAGUAAUGCAUCGGAACGGUAUCCUUGAGUGGGGGAGUAACGCAGCGAAAGUUAGUGCUAAUAACCGCAUACGACCGAGAGGUGAAAGACGGGGCCGGAAAGGACUCGCGCAGCAGGAUGAGCCGAUGUCCGAUUAGCUGGUUGGUGGGUAACGGCCCACCAAGGCGACGAUCGGUAGCUGGUCUGAGAGGAUGAUCAGCCACACUGGGACUGAGACACGGCCCAGACUCCUACGGGAGGCAGC